CAAGCUACUAAAUGUUGAACUCACGCCUACUUCCCCUGAGUUACUGUCAAUUCGCACCCAAUGUCAUCGAACGUGUAUAAUUAACAAAUACGGCGCUUUCCUCUCAUGUUAUUUGCAUACUUACAUAAAUAUGGAAUCAGGAGGUAUUGCCAGGUACAUGAGAGGUCUCUUAGAGGAAUAUAAAACUUUAAGAGGUCAGAGCUGUAGAAAGGGGCUUAGACCAAUGUGGGAUGCAGUUGUCAUAACAACAGCUGAUGAAGUUCAGAAAGAAGCAUUUCGCUUGCAAGUGGAUGACAAGAUUGCUCGCAAGGAACUUCCUCUUGAUCUUCCAAUUCAUCUGGUUUCUGACCCUCCAGGGUUCAAGAUUGGCAAUGGUGGAUCAACACUUGUGGCCCUGGAAUUUCUGAAUAAUCUUUAUGGAGAAAAGAUUUUCCAGAUGAAGAUACUGCUCAUCCAUGCUGGAGGGUGGAGCCAGAGAAUGCCAAAUGCCACCAUUUUAGGAAAGAUUUUCUCAGCUGUUCCUCAUGGGCAGCCAAUUUAUCAAAUGCUUGAUCUCAAACUUGCCUUGUAUUGGCCCUUUGUGUCAAUCAUUGCACCUGGGAUUUUUCUGGUAUGUGCAGACGAUAUACUAGUGUAUGACCUGGGUGAAGAGAAUGAUUGGUCUGUGCCUGCAAGGGGUUUCACAGCAUUGGCUCAUCCAUCUCCUAUUAGCAUUGGAAGAACUCAUGGAGUAUACGUCAUAGAUGAGGUUGAGAAGCUAGACACCAAAAAACAUGUGUUAGUAGCAAACUGUCUGGAAGUGUUGCAGAAGCCAUCUGAUGAAAAGAUGAAAGAGAGAGGAGCCCUGCUGAAAUCUGAUGAUAACCAUUUUGAAUUUGCUGAUGGUAUCUGUAUGGAUGGGGAUAUUGUUUACACUGACAGCUCCUACUACUUUGGAGUUGAUGUAAUGAGGAAGCUGUUGAAAUUGAAACAGACACUUGGUAGCAUAUCUUGUGAGAUAGAUGCUUAUGGAGAUUUCUUGCAAGCUCUUGGUCAACGUUCCAGUGAUGCCUACAUCUUCAACACUUCAAAUAUUUCUCAGAUGACCAGUGAACUGAUACAGGUUCGCAAGCAAGCAUUUGAUGCCCUGCAAAAAACUAAUCUUAGUCUGAUCAUCAUGAAUGCCUCCCGUUUCAUCCAUAUCGGCACGACCAAAGAGCUGAUCCAUCACUUCUGCCAAGACAAGGAUUUCCAGUAUCAGCUUGCACUUGAAAAAAAUGUUUUCAACUGCUGGGGGGAGAAUCUUGAAACAGAAAAAAAGCACAUUCCAGAUUCUCACACAGAUGUUGCACUUCCAGCAGGCUCUUUAAGCAAAGGUUGUGUUAUGCAUUCAGUGCUUCCAAGGUCUUCAUCUGUGGCAGAAAACUGCAUUGUUGAGUAUUGCCAUUUUGAUAUACCUGUGGUGUUUAGAGAUGGCUCUAUCAUCAGCAACUGUCAGUGGCUGAAGUGUGAUGGGCAGUGCCGAGAAACUCUGGUAGUUCCAGAAAAUAUUUUUCUCCACACUGUAUCUGUGCUCUUAGAGGGUGCAUCAUAUUUUGUUACAAUCUUUUUUGCGAUCUCUGAUAACCUGAAAACAUCAGUGCCACAAUCCAAAUUAGCCAGUCUGCCUUUUCUUCACAAGACUGUAGGUUUUGCUCUGCAACAGUGGCAGCUGCCAGAAAGGGUUGUCAUUCCUGAGGUAAGCAAAGUGUCAGAUGAUCACAGCGAAGUCAAGAGGAGUCUGUGGACAUUGAAACUGUACCCAGGAGCAACAUCAAUGACAGAGUCCUUGCAGAUGGCACUAGAAAUGAUCCAGUGUGCAUGAGGAAUGCAAGCUGACCUUCUCUCUGGUGUCAAGUAGACAACAGUUUUUCUCACUUGCAGAUGCCCUCGCACAGAAGGAUGUGAUGGCAAUGCUGAACUUUCGACGACAAGUUUUUCACAAAAUCCAGGCAGUCAUAAAUCCAGCUGACAACUCCUAAGGGAUAUUUGAUUAUGGAAUUUUGAAAGCUUUUGGUGCGAUUACUGUAAAUGGAAUUUUCUUCCUCCUGCUACCAGACUGCAACUUUGGUCUCCAUCUCAAGAGAGGAUUAAACAGCAAAAAAAAGGUGAUGAACGACCACAGUUUAUAGCCAUCUCUUGGCAAGUCCUUUUGUUUAUUGCACAAGCAGAGGCAUGCCCAAAGCAAAGAUCUAUAACCUAUCAGGGCCAUCCCUCUCCCUAACACACCUGAUUUCAGCCCUCUCUCUCUCUUCUCACCUAUAUAUUUUGUACUUUGUGAAGACUUAUAUCUCAAAUAUUGGUUGAAGUGAGUGGGUGGAGAACUGGUUGGGCAAAGUAUUCCCCCCAAAUAAUCUUCCACAACUCUCCCCAGCUCAUAUGCCACUGGUGCAAACUGUAGUGGCUUGUUCCUUACAGUGCAUCGAAGACCAGCGCUUGGAUUUUUGUACCUUUGCCCUAUUUGCACAGAUUAUGUCAGACAUCUUUUUUUAAUCACUUUAGUUCCUACCUUCAUGACUUUUUCUCCUUCUGGUAGCUCUCCCCUUUGCCAAUGCCAUUGUUUGCUCAACACCAAAUGCCAUAGCAAUGGCUUAAACUAGAAAGGUAUAGAGAGUAUCAGUGCGCACACCUUGGAGGCUGAUCUAGAACCAUGUUGCAUUUAAUGCUUUACCUCCUUUGAACAGACUCUGUCAUUCUUGAUCUUGUUUUUUCAUCCUCUCAUCAGGCCGUGAACAGGAGAACUCAUUUACACUGUGUGGUUCAUUUUCUUCAAAUGUGGACAUGCAGAACAAUUGUCUCAGAAGGAGAGUUGGUGCACAAGACAUUUUGUAGUUGAUAAAAAUGUAGGUAUUACUUUUGUAAAAGUAUUGUGUUUCAGAGUCUGAUGAUGGAACAGCAGCUUAUAGCAUGUUUGACAUAUCUCUUUGCGAAACAUUCUUUGAAAUCAUAAAAACAAUCUAUUUUUAUAGAGGCAACAUAAAAUCUUUUGUCACAAAAUCAACAAAGAAACAAUAAAAUAUGGACAUUUUCUAUCUCUUUAUCAUGAAGACAGUAUUUCUCAAACAAAAUACUCUUACUAGGUAUAUCUGGUAACAAGAAGCAAUAAAUAGCAUUCAACAUCGUUCUUUACCCAGAACUUUUCAGUAGUACAUGGAGUCAUUGCAUUUUGUUUAUCCUUAUAUACAAAAUUAUUAUUUUUUUUAGCAGUUAAAAUGCAGCCCUAAUCACUCAGCAUAGCGGUUCGAGGUUAACAUAUACAGCUUUCGUUCAUGGUGAACCAUGUACAUAGCAAAGUUUAGUACAAAGCAUGGACUUGUGUUUAAACAAAUUUUAAAGUACACGAGAAAUUCUGUAAGCCUGGAUCUUUUAUACCCAAAUCCAGAUAUCAAUUUAGGAAGGAGACGAACACAAGUGGCUUGGAAAAAAGUUAAGACAAAUGUAUGAGUAUGCUAUUAUACUAAGAAUCUCUAACAAACAUUAAUGAGGAAACAACUUUCUAAGCAUCAAUUUCCACCAUCAAAAGAAAAGACCAUAUGUCAUACUUCAUUUCUAGAAGAGUAUUAUUAUUAUUUUGCUACAAACACUUCAGUCCUCUUUUUAAAAGCAUUUCAAAAGGAUGCAAAUAUCCGAAACAUUUGUAGCUGAAGUCUUUUAUGGGUGCACUUUUUGAAGUUAUUGUAAGCUCUAUAAUUUCACCUGUGACCAUCUUAAGUGAUUUGAAGCCAGACAUGGACAAGUGUACCUUACUAUGAAGC